UUUCCGUAGGUGAACCUGCGGAAGGAUCAUUACUGAGUGAGGGCCCCUCGGGGUCCAACCUCCCACCCGUGUUUAACGAACCUUGUUGCUUCGGCGGGCCCGCCUCACGGCCGCCGGGGGGCAUUUGCCCCCGGGCCCGCGCCCGCCGAAGCCACCUGUGAACGCUGUCUGAAGUAUGCAGUCUGAGACAAUUAUCGAAUUAAUUAAAACUUUCAACAACGGAUCUCUUGGUUCCG
rnacentral:misc_RNA from 1 species